rnacentral:lncRNA from 1 species
AGGGGCCGCAUUUCCCCGAGCAGGGCCGCGCACAAAGGCCCUAGGCCCGGGCCGCACUCACCGAAGUCCAGGAACUGCUUCAUAGAGAGCGGGGACGGCGAGAAGCGCGCGUAGAAGUCCACCUGGCCCGGAACGCCGCUUUCGGGCGCCGGCCCGGAGGCCGAGUCCGAGGUGAAGCUGCGGCUGGCGCCGGGGCUGGCCGCGCGCAGCCCGGAGCCCGGGCCGGCCGAGGCGGCUCCGCGAAGCAGCCGCGCCAGCCUCAUGCCGAGCCCCGCCGGAGGAGCCGGAGCUGGGGUAGCCAGGUCGCCGCUCAGCGCCUCGGCCGGGCGGUACG